GAUCUGGCUCAGGACGAACGCUGGCGGCGUGCCUAAUACAUGCAAGUAGAACGCUGAAAAGAGGAGCUUGCUCUUCUUGGAUGAGUUGCGAACGGGUGAGUAACGCGUAGGUAACCUGCCUUGUAGCGGGGGAUAACUAUUGGAAACGAUAGCUAAUACCGCAUAACAAUGGAUGACACAUGUCAUUUAUUUGAAAGGGGCAAUUGCUCCACUACAAGAUGGACCUGCGUUGUAUUAG
rnacentral:rRNA from 1 species